rnacentral:rRNA from 1 species
GAUGAACGCUGGCGGCGUGCCUAAUACAUGCAAGUCGAGCGAACAGACGAGGAGCUUGCUCCUCUGACGUUAGCGGCGGACGGGUGAGUAACACGUGGAUAACCUACCUAUAAGACUGGGAUAACUUCGGGAAACCGGAGCUAAUACCGGAUAAUAUAUUGAACCGCAUGGUUCAAUAGUGAAAGACGGUUUUGCUGUCACUAAUAGAUGGAUCCGCGCCGCAUUAGCUAGUUGGUAAGGUAACGGCUUACCAAGGCAACGAUGCGUAGCCGACCUGAGAGGGUGAUCAGCCACACUGGAACUGAGACACGGUCCAGACUCCUACGGGAGGCAGCAGUAGGGAAUCUUCCGCAAUGGGCGAAAGCUUGACGGAGCAACGCCGCGUGAGUGAUGAAGGUCUUCGGAUCGUAAAACUCUGUUAUUAGGGAAGAACAAAUGUGUAAGUAACUAUGCACGUCUUGACGGUACCUAAUCAGAAAGCCACGGCUAACUACGUG